rnacentral:rRNA from 1 species
UACGGAGGGAGCCAGCGUUGUUCGGAUAUACUGGGCGUAAAGCGCACGUAGGCGGCGCAGCAAGUCAGGGGUGAAAUCCCGGAGCUCAACUCCGGAACUGCCUUUGAAACUGCAGUGCUAGAAUCCUGGAGAGGCGAGUGGAAUUCCGAGUGUAGAGGUGAAAUUCGUAGAUAUUCGGAAGAACACCAGUGGCGAAGGCGACUCGCUGGACAGGUAUUGACGCUGAGGUGCGAAAGCGUGGGGAGCAAACAGG